CAAACAAUUGAAAUAACUGAGCAGUGUGACCGUGCUACAAACGAUAAGAAUUCCUGCCUGACAGAAAAUGGCGUUAUAUACCAUUUCAGUUUGUAGAAAUACCAAUCAUUGGAAAUGGUAUUUGACGUUACUUUUUAAAAAGCUCGAUCGAUCACCUUACAGCGCUCUUUUAUCUUUCCAAAGGACAUGACCAGAAGGACUCGGUUGUGGAAGAUUAAGUUGAGGAUACUUGUGGAAAAUCCCCGGGAAGUUGCGUCCAGAUACGUGUUGAUUGGAAAGAAGAAGACGCGGGAUUUUGGUUAGUUUAGUUUAUUCUGUAUGCAUAUUGUAUAAUUUGUGUUUUUACGGUUAUCAUACAUGAAUAAAUAUAAAUUAAAUUAUGCUCUUCAUUCACAAAGUGUGUUCUUUGCACCUCCGCUUGCAAGUUGCAACGAUUCCUCGUUUUGAGUUCGGAUUAUUUUCGUGUCUUUGGCCAAACACCAUAAAAUAUAUAUUUCAAACUCAACAUUACGCUCAACGUACAUUCAUAUGCUAUGCGCAUUUUAUUGUGGCUAAGUCAGUUUCGAUUUGGAAUUCAAAUUCAAUUUUCAAUGCUCCAAGAUGCUUUGCAUUCGCCUAGUUAAUAGAAAUAUAAUAUUCGUGUUGUGUUUUCUUUAGCUAGUUUUUGAACUCGCAAGUUCUUCAAUUCGGUUGUAUUCAGUGUAUUGUUUCGGCCGCAAUGGUUCCUAACUCUGUCCUUUGCCCAAUGUUUCAUGAUUAUUUACAGCAAUCGAGAAUACAGCAUAGUAAAAUGUUCGCUACAGUUUCCUAUAGUAGUUUUGGGGGCUGGGAAUCGUUUCCGCUGAUAGUUUCCAUUAAUAAUCUCUCACUAAUCGGUAAAUAAAUUGUUUCUUCGUAUCGUUUUCUCUUUUUUGUACAAUAGACGCGUGUUCUUUUUGUGUGUUAUCAGUCGUUUUUCAUUUACUUUACAUGAAUGUGCAGGGAAAUUAUUGUUAAGUUUUACUUGUAAAUAAUCCUCUUCUCCUCUAGUCGCGUCUCCUGCUCUACGAAAUAUAUUUGCAU